UACGGAGGAUCCAAGCGUUAUCCGGAUUUAUUGGGUUUAAAGGGUGCGUAGGUGGCCUGUUAAGUCAGGGGUGAAAGACGGUAGCUCAACUAUCGCAGUGCCCUUGAUACUGAUGGGCUUGAAUGAACUAGAGGUAGGCGGAAUGUGACAAGUAGCGGUGAAAAUGCAUAGAUAUGUCACAGAACACCAAUUGCGAAGGCAGCUUACUAUGGUUUUAUUGACACUGAGGCACGAAAGCGUGGGGAUCAAAACAGG
rnacentral:rRNA from 1 species